rnacentral:rRNA from 1 species
UACGUAGGUCCCGAGCGUUGUCCGGAUUUAUUGGGCGUAAAGCGAGCGCAGGUGGUUUAUUAAGUCUGGUGUAAAAGGCAGUGGCUCAACCAUAGUAUGCAUUGGAAACUGGUAGACUUGAGUGCAGGAGAGGAAAGUGGAAUUCCAUGUGUAGCGGUGAAAUGCGUAGAUAUAUGGAGGAACACCGGUGGCGAAAGCGGCUCUCUGGCCUGUAACUGACACUGAGGCUCGAGAGCGUGGGGAGCAAACAGG